CUACGGGAGGCAGCAGUAGGGAAUCUUCCGCAAUGGACGAAAGUCUGACGGAGCAACGCCGCGUGAGUGAUGAAGGUUUUCGGAUCGUAAAACUCUGUUGUUAGGGAAGAACAAGUACCGUUCGAAUAGGGCGGUACCUUGACGGUACCUAACCAGAAAGCCACGGCUAACUACGUGCCA
rnacentral:rRNA from 1 species